rnacentral:rRNA from 1 species
AGAGUUUGAUCGAGGCUCAGAACGAACGCUGGCGGCAGGCUUAACACAUGCAAGUCGAACGAUAUAGUGGCAGACGGGUGAGUAACGCGUGGGAACGUGCCUUUCACUAAGGAAUAGCUUUUGGAAACGAAAGGUAAUACCUUAUACGCCCUUAGGGGGAAAGAUUUAUCGGUGAAAGAUCGGCCCGCGUUAGAUUAGCUAGUUGGUGAGGUAAUGGCUCACCAAGGCUACGAUCUAUAGCUGGUCUGAGAGGACGACCAGCCACACUGGGGCUGAGUCACGGCCCAGACUCCUACGGGAGGCAGCAGUGGGGAAUCUUGGACAAUGGGCGAAAGCCUGAUCCAGCCAUGCCGCGUGAAUGAUGAAGGCCUUAGGGUUGUAAAAUUCUUUCAGCAGGGAAGAUAAUGACGGUACCUGCAAAAGAAGCCCCGGCUAACUCCGUGCCAGCUGCCGCGGUAAUACGGAGGGGGCUAGCGUUGUUCGGAAUUACUGGGCGUAAAGCGUACGUGGGCGUAUGGGUAAGUCAGAUGUGAAAUCCCAGGGCUCAACCCUGGAACUGCAUUUGAAACUGCCAACCUAGAGUUCAGGAGAGGUAAGCGGAAUUCCGAGUGUAGAGGUGAAAUUCGUAGAUAUUCGGAGGAACACCAGAGGCGAAGGCGGCUUACUGGACUGAUACUGACGCUGAGGUACGAAAGCGUGGGGAGCAAACAGGAUUAGAUACCCUGGUAGUCCACGCCGUAAACGAUGAGAGCUAGUUGUCAGCAAGCAUGCUUGUUGGUGACGCAGCUAACGCAUUAAGCUCUCCGCCUGGGGAGUACGGUCGCAAGAUUAAAACUCAAAGAAAUUGACGGGGGCCCGCACAAGCGGUGGAGCAGGUGGUUUAAUUCGAAGCAACGCGCAGAACCUUACCUACCCUUGACAUACCCGGACAACUCUGGAGAUGGGUCGCUUUCCUUCGGGACAUAGUGACAGGGGCUGCAUGGCUGUCGUCAGCUCGUGUCGUGAGAUGUUCGGUUAAGUCCGGCAACGAGCGCAACCCACAUCUUUAGUUGCCAGCAGGUAAGCUGGGCACUCUAGGGAAACUGCCCGUGAUAAGCGGGAGGAAGGUGUGGAUGACGUCAAGUCCUCAUGGCACUUACGGGUUGGGCUACACACGUGCUACAAUGGCAGUGACAAUGGGUUAAUCCCAAAAAACUGUCUCAGUUCGGAUUGGGGUCUGCAACUCGACCCCAUGAAGUCGAAAUCGCUAGUAAUCGCGUAACAGCAUGACGCGGUGAAUACGUUCCCGGGCCUUGUACACACCGCCCGUCACACCAUGGGAGUUGGGUCUACCCGAAGGCCGUGCGCUAACCCUUCGGGGAGGCAGGCGGCCACGGUAGGAUCAGCGACUGGGGUGAAGUCGUAACAAGGUAACC